rnacentral:rRNA from 1 species
AUGAACGCUGACAGAAUGCUUCACCCCUGCAAGUCUACUUGAACUUCGGUUUGGGUGGCGGACGGGUGAGUAACGCGUAAAGAACUUGCCUCACAGAUAGGGACAACAUUUGGAAACGAAUGCUAAUACCUGAUAUUAUGAUUUUAGGGCAUCCUAGAAUUAUGAAAGCUAUAUGCACUGUGAGAGAGCUUUGCGUCCCAUUAGCUAGUUGGAGAGGUAACGGCUCACCAAGGCGAUGAUGGGUAGCCGGCCUGAGAGGGUGAUCGGCCACAAGGGGACUGAGACACGGCCCUUACUCCUACGGGAGGCAGCAGUGGGGAAUAUUGGACAAUGGACCAAGAGUCUGAUCCAGCAAUUCUGUGUGCACGAUGAAGUUUUUCGGAAUGUAAAGUGCUUUCAGUUGGGAAGAAAAAAAUGACGGUACCAACAGAAGAAGUGACGGCUAAAUACGUG